rnacentral:rRNA from 1 species
CCCUGGCUCAGAUUGAACGCUGGCGGCAUGCCUUACACAUGCAAGUCGAACGGUAGAGUAGCAAUACUCGAGAGUGGCGAACGGGUGAGUAAUAUAUCGGAACGUGCCCAGUCGUGGGGGAUAACGUAGAGAAAUUUACGCUAAUACCGCAUACGAUCUACGGAUGAAAGCGGGGGAUCGCAAGACCUCGCGCGAUUGGAGCGGCUGAUAUCAGAUUAGGUUGUUGGUGAGGUAAAAGCUCACCAAGCCGACGAUCUGUAGCUGGUUUGAGAGAACGACCAGCCACACUGGGACUGAGACACGGCCCAGACUCCUACGGGAGGCAGCAGUGGGGAAUUUUGGACAAUGGGCGAAAGCCUGAUCCAGCAAUGCCGCGUGCAGGAAGAAGGCCUUCGGGUUGUAAACUGCUUUUGUACGGAACGAAACGGUCCUUUCUAAUAAAGAGGGCUAAUGACGGUACCGUAAGAAUAAGCACCGGCUAACUA